rnacentral:tRNA from 1 species
UAGUCUAGCGGUUAGAACACUGGCCUUGUAAUCCUGGGGUCUCGGGUUCGAUUCCCGG